GCCGCCAUGGUGAAUUUGGUAGACACGCUGCUCUUAGGAAGCAGUGCUCAAGCAUCUCGGUUCGAAUCCGAGUGGCGGCA
rnacentral:tRNA from 1 species